AAGGUUAGAGACUACAUGAGACUUUGACAGAUGGCGGGAAACAUUAAUCCACUGGAGCUGUGCGGCGCAAUUUUCCGCAACAAUCCAAUAAUGAAACUGAAAUUGUGGUGAAGGAGUGGUUAAGGUAUGCGAAAGACAGAGAUGGUGGCAAAAAGAAACAACAGGAGGAUAUACAAGAUGAUAGUGAUGAUUGAUUUUAGUUUCGCCUUCUACAGAUCCAUCUGUCCGUCCGUCCAUUCCUCACAAACUUGUCCAGACAACUCCUCAGAUUUCUUCAAAACCACAGGAAUGAUCAGUACCAGACCUAGUUGUGCAUAUUGUCAGGAUUUUACGGUUCAGUGAUUUUUGGUGAAGCUAUGGCCUUUUAAAGAUUUUAUAAAUAAGCUAUACCAUCCUAUUGUUUUUGGUUUAGAAUAUGUGUAAAUUGAUACAAGUGCCAUUUAAUUAGCACCAGGAAAUCCAAUCAUAUGUCUUGUAUACAAGUUUAUAGAAUUAUCAAACUGAAUUUAUCCUACCAGAAUAGCCUACAAGUGCUUUAACACUUUAGUAUUUGCAGUAAGAUUCUUAUGUGGUUCCCUUUAGAUUAGUACUUUUUAGGAAAUAUGUUUGCUAAAUGUAAUAAAGGAAUAAGUUCUCUUCCUAUGUCAGUAUUGAAAUUGCUAUAUGUUUUUAGCUCACCUGUGACGAAGUGACAUGGUGAGCUUAUGUGACCGUGUGAUGUCCGGCGUCCGUAUGUGCGUGUGUGCGUGCGUCCGUCAACAAUUUGUUUGUGUAGACAGUAGAGGUCACAGUUUUCAUCCAAUCUUUAUGAAAUUUGGUCAAAAUGUUUAUCUUGAUAAAAUCUGGCUUGGGAUUGUAUUUUGGUCAUCCGGGGUAAAAAACUAGGUCAAAAACUAGGUCACAUAAUAG